GGGCCCGCACAAGCGGUGGAGUAUGUGGUUUAAUUCGAUGCAACGCGAAGAACCUUACCAGGGUUUGACAUCCUGCGAAUCUCUUGGAAACGAGAGAGUGCCUUCGGGAACGCAGUGACAGGUGGUGCAUGGCUGUCGUCAGCUCGUGUCGUGAGAUGUUGGGUUAAGUCCCGCAACGAGCGCAACCCACGUCGUUAGUUGCCAGCAUUUAGUUGGGCACUCUAGCGAGACCGCCGGUGAUAAACCGGAGGAAGGUGGGGAUGACGUCAAAUCAUCACGGCCCUUACGUCCUGGGCUACACACGUGCUACAAUGGCCGGUACAGAGGGCAGCCACACCGCAAGGUGGAGCG
rnacentral:rRNA from 1 species